rnacentral:ncRNA from 1 species
ACAAAGACGAAGAGCAGAACAAGUACGAAAGUCUGGGAAAUCAGAGAUUAGGUGGCGCUGCGAACCUAACCAAGGGCUUUGGGAAAAAUCAUCUGUGAGUCGCGUAUCGAUGGUAACGGAGAAUACGCUGGGUCCACCCAUUACCGUGGCAACGAAUCGCUAGGGCAACCUAGCCGCUCGUGUGAGGCAAGGAAACUUGCAAAAAAAGGUGGUACCACGUUUGAAACGUCCUUUGU